AGUUUACACGCUUCAGGCACGAAAUUCGGUUUUUACCUGAUCAAUUUGAGUUCGAGUUAUUGAAUUGUUUUGUUAUAAUUAUGUGGUUAUGAAUAAUUACAAUGUGGUGGGUGCAUUUGGGAAGUGGAUUUUGAAUAUUUUUGCUUGAUUCUAUUGCUAAUUGUGUUCUGCGUAUCAUUGGCAUUCAUCAAUCCAGUGAAAC
rnacentral:misc_RNA from 1 species